GAUGAACGCUGGCGGCGUGCCUAAUACAUGCAAGUCGAGCGAACAGAUGAGGAGCUUGCUCCUCUGACGUUAGCGGCGGACGGGUGAGUAACACGUGGAUAACCUACCUAUAAGACUGGGAUAACUUCGGGAAACCGGAGCUAAUACCGGAUAAUAUAUUGAACCGCAUGGUUCAAUAGUGAAAGACGGUUUUGCUGUCACUUAUAGCUGGAUCCGCGCCGCAUUAGCUAGUUGGUAAGGUAACGGCUUACCAAGGCAACGAUGCGUAGCCGACCUGAGAGGGUGAUCGGCCACACUGGAACUUAGACGCGGUCCAGACUCCUACGGGAGGCAGCAGUAGGGAAUCUUCCGCAAUGGGCGAAAGCCUGACGGAGCAACGCCGCGUGAGUGAUGAAGGUCUUCGGAUCGUAAAACUCUGUUAUUAGGGAAGAACAAAUGUGUAAGUAACUAUGCACGUCUUGACGGUACCUAAUCAGAAAGCCACGGCUAGCUACGUG
rnacentral:rRNA from 1 species